UUUAUUGGAGAGUUUGAUCCUGGCUCAGGAUGAACGCUGGCGGCGUGCCUAAUACAUGCAAGUCGAGCGAAUUGAUUAAGAGCUUGCUCUUAUGAAGUUAGCGGCGGACGGGUGAGUAACACGUGGGUAACCUGCCCAUAAGACUGGGAUAACUCCGGGAAACCGGGGCUAAUACCGGAUAAUAUUUUGAACUGCAUGGUUCGAAAUUGAAAGGCGGCUUCGGCUGUCACUUAUGGAUGGACCCGCGUCGCAUUAGCUAGUUGGUGAGGUAACGGCUCACCAAGGCAACGAUGCGUAGCCGACCUGAGAGGGUGAUCGGCCACACUGGGACUGAGACACGGCCCAGACUCCUACGGGAGGCAGCAGUAGGGAAUCUUCCGCAAUGGACGAAAGUCUGACGGAGCAACGCCGCGUGAGUGAUGAAGGCUUUCGGGUCG
rnacentral:rRNA from 1 species